rnacentral:lncRNA from 1 species
GAACUUGCUAGAUAUAUUUACUUUUAGUAACAUCAGUAUUUUGGAUAUGGUAAUGUGAUGUACUUCAAUUUUGAACUGUUAGAUAAUUUGUAGUUAAUGCAUAAUAGCAUGUUUGUUAAUCACAGUGGGUAAGGACUAAGAACUUAACAAAUUAUUUUUUACUUUUAAAUAACUAAUUUAUUUUGGAUAAUUUAUGUUAUGCAUGUAUUGUAUAUCAUAAGUAAAGUAAAAAUUUUGGUUUUGGUAUGGUAUAAAGAAAAAGAUUAGAUCUCAUAUGGUAAUGCAAGUUAAAAAAAAUAAGCUUAAAUAUUGUAUUUUUUAUAAAAUAAAAAAAGUAAAGAUUUCACAUCUAGUUAAGCCUGUAUGCAGAUAGGGAAAAAUAUUAUUUUUUUUAUUUCAAAAAUAUUGGAUUUCCCAUCGGUGGAUACAUUUAUUGCCGUAGUGAAAACCCCCCAUGUGCUGCUCUUAACGACGCUUAUCACAUCAGUGCUAAAUAACCCCGAUGUGCAAAAAUAUAUUUCUACAUCGGGCAAAUACCCGAUGUGAAAUGGGGUGGACAAACAACAUCACCUUUAGUCACAUCGGGUUCGGGACCCGAUGUGAGAAUUUGAAUUCCACUGAUGGUAGAAAUGUAAUUUUUGUAGUAGUGCAACACCUCAGAAUCUGGUCAGGUUGUUCGACCAAAGAAAAAGAAACCCAUGAAAAAGCAUACACAAGUCACCCCCGCCCCCACCCCCCCCCCCCAUCUUGUGUGUUUUUCUUCACCUUUAAUUUUUGUUUUUUAGAAAGUAUAAACUUUUUACAAAAAAUGUCCAUCUUCUCCCUCAAUUGUUUUAGUCGAAAAAGAUAUUUUUUUGGGGGCAAUUUUUUAGCAUGUUUUUACUCUUAUGCAUUUCGACAGGCAAGAAGAAAGUCAAGUUUACAAAAUUAUCUAAGUCCAAGAUCAGAGCAGGAAGCUUUCAACAAGGUUGGUUUUCAACGGAUUCUUUGAUUUUCAACCCAAUUCAAAUCCUUCCCGAAAAGGAAAAAUCAAAUGUCCUAACACAUUGAAGGCAUGUUAAAGUUGUCGAAAAGAUGUAGUUUUUAGCCGUUAGUCUGUUAGUUAUUUUCUCUUAUGUAUAUAUAGUAGUUUUUCAUAGGGAAAACAAGUGACAAAUCAUUAUCAAAAGUUCUUACACAAGAAUUAUCCAGGAACACAGAGAGAAAAGAGUCAAAAUGUAUCUAACAUGAUUUGAUGUACCAUUUCCAUUUCAGCAAUGCAAUUUACUUUCUUUUUAGUUUAUUUGCCUUUAGAAUUCUAAGUCUUUUAGUUUUGAAUCUUCAAACACAUUGUUGAUUC